GAAGGUAACGCAGUCGUAGGGCCUUUGCCGUGGUCCGCCAGCAUUGUGUAUGGGAGCGCAGGUUUUAAGACGACAAAAACUCCCCCAGAGGGGGCGGAGAGGAAUAUUAAAGGACCACUGCUCUUCAAAUCGUGCCGUGUUGACUACAACAAAAAAACCAAUCGACUGGAGUUUCCCAAAGGAGAAUAUAUCGGUAAAACUGUGUGUCACCGUAGAAACGCAGAAUCCACACCCAACGUGGAAGGUGGCGAGUAUUAUGACAUCAUUGUAAACUGCAAUUUGGACGAGAUUGAUUCCCAAGAGUAUGCAGUGGAAGAUGCGAUAAAACUGCGAGCUAUAGAGAAAGAACUACUGCUACCUGGAACGGACAGGGCACAACGCAAAGCUCGAAUCAGCAAGUAUCUACACUGGGUGAGUGAAAAAAACAAGUAAUUAGCUUUAGAAGCUUUGGUUGGUUAAUUUCUGUCUAUCUGUUUAUUUUCUUCUGCUGGCAAACAAGCCAUUCCCUAAGUCUUGUUGCUUGCUCUUCAUAUUGUUGAAGAAGUUCCAGAGAAACCUUGCUGAAGCUUCAAACUCUAUGUUUAGCUGAAAGAGAAAGUUCCAAAAAGAGAUGUUGAGUUAUCUUCCUAGACUCAGCUUGAGUAUGAUAAGAAAGCUUCCGUUGACCGAAUUUUUAUGGUUUCAAAUAACUAUCUUGUUAUUCAACUAGUAAUCCCUCACAGCUUAUACAGAUAACUCUUUUCAACAGUUUGAACGGUCACUGAGCACAGACCAACACAAGUUGACGCUUGACGAACCGUUAAUAGAAGAAGAKUGUGRUUUUCUAAGACAAGUCUACCUUCCUUGCGCCGAGGAUUCCACCAUGUUGGAUCUGACUUCUCUCUCAAAGGAAGACGUUCAGAGUUAUGGAAUCGUGUUCAAUGCACUUGAUACUUUGUCUGACGA